GAACAAGGGGAAUCCUAGUGUUUAAUUAAAAUAAAGCAUUGUGAUGGUCCCUGCGGAUGUUGACGUAAUGUGAUUCAUUCCCAGUGUUUUGCAUUUCAAAGUGAAUAAAUUCAACCAAGUGUGGGUAAACGACACGAGAAACUAUGACUCUCUUAAGGUAUCCAGAUGCAUCGUCAUCUAAUUAGUGAUGCUCAUGAAUGGAUUAACGAGAUUCCCACUGUCCCUAGCUACUAUCUAGAGAAACCACAUCCAAGGGAACGAGCUUGGUAGAAUUAGCAGGGAAAUAAGACCAUGUUGAGAUUGACUCUAGUAUGACUUAGUGACAUUACUUGAGAGGUGUAGAAUAAGUGGGAUUUGUUUUCAGUGCAAGUGAAAUACCACUAAUUUUAAUGUUAUUUUACUUAUUUUAUGGGGCGGAGACGGGGCAUUGCACAUAUGUUAAAAGAUAAUGCACAUUUUCUCAAAGUGUUGUCAUUGAUGGCAAUGGUAAAUAUCUCAUUCUUCACGCACUUGAUCUAAAUGAUUUUAGGAAACCAAAGAGAAUCAUUUCUUUUAAGGAUGAAUAAAUUUCCUAAAAUCCCUAUGUUUUUAGCCAACAUCCCCUUAUAAUUAUCUAUGUUAUGGUUCCUCAUUGUAAAUUAGUGACUUGAGUCCUCAUAGACUUAGAGAGUGGGUGGCUUAUGAUGCCAAAUUCUUUGGCCUCCGAAAUCAUUUUAUUUUCCAUUAUGUGAGUGGUGUGCAUCCUUAAGUUAUAGACACACUAGAGCCAUGGGUUCCCAAUGAUAGUCAAGCAUUGCAAGAUAUUCCAUGCAAGAACAAUUUCAUGGGUAUUACCAUAAUCAAUUCAUCUUUGU
rnacentral:ncRNA from 1 species